GCAUUGGUGGUUCAUUGGUAGGACUUUCACCUUCCAUGUGGGAGACCCAGGUUCCAUUCCUGGCCAAUGCA
rnacentral:tRNA from 1 species